UUUCAUCUUCUCGGGUCCAGUCCUGCCACAUGGAGCUACCCCUUGGGAUUCUAACCAGGAUGGCACUCCUCUCCCUUCUCAGGGCCUAAAGCUGAGGACCAGGUGAUGGGCCAUUUAGAAGGUACAUACCACAUUUUGUUUAUCUACUCAUCCAGUGAGGGACCCUCAGGCUAUGUGCAUCUUUAAGCCAUCAUGAGUAAUGCUGAUAUGAAGCCCCCAAGACCUUUCUGGAGGAGAGACGACGACGGGUUCUGAAGAAGGCCCCGUCUUCCCGAGCUUUCUACACCUGCGCGGGGGAGAGGUGCGGGCGUUGUUGGCCUGUGUGAUGGUUU